rnacentral:rRNA from 1 species
UGAGGAAUAUUGGUCAAUGGGCGAGAGCCUGAACCAGCCAAGUCGCGUGAAGGAUGAAGGAUCUAUGGUUCGUAAACUUCUUUUAUAAGGGAAUAAAGUGUGGUACGUGUACCAUUUUGUAUGUACCUUAUGAAUAAGGAUCGGCUAACUCCGUGCCAGCAGCCGCGGUAAUACGGAGGAUCCGAGCGUUAUCCGGAUUUAUUGGGUUUAAAGGGUGCGUAGGUGGCUUUUUAAGUCAGCGGUGAAAGUUUGUGGCUCAACCAUAAAAUUGCCGUUGAAACUGGAGGGCUUGAGUAUAUUUGAGGUAGGCGGAAUGCGUGGUGUAGCGGUGAAAUGCAUAGAUAUCACGCAGAACUCCAAUUGCGAAGGCAGCUUACUAAACUAUAACUGACACUGAAGCACGAAAGCGUGGGGAUCAAACA